UACAGAGGUCUCAAGCGUUGUUCGGAUUCAUUGGGCGUAAAGGGUGCGUAGGCGGCGCGGUAAGUCGGGUGUGAAAUCUCGGAGCUUAACUCCGAAACUGCAUUCGAUACUGCCGUGCUUGAGGACUGGAGAGGAGACUGGAAUUUACGGUGUAGCGGUGAAAUGCGUAGAUAUCGUAAGGAAGAGCAGUGGCGAAGGCGGGUCUCUGGACAGUUCCUGACGCUGAGGCACGAAGGCCAGGGGAGCAAACGGG
rnacentral:rRNA from 1 species